UUUGGUCAAAGCGCAAAAAUUCCAGGACCUGCCAUAUUUUCCUAAACAACACCAAAUUGUUCUGCUGGGGAAUUCCCAGAUGUGUCAAACGAUGCUUUUUUAUGCCAAUCGAAAAAAAACAAAGUCCAAAAGUCAGAACCACCCACAACAGGCCAAAGAAAAACAAAACUACCCGCACCAGAACGCCAAACUACCCUGAGACGGAAGUGACUUCGAGCUUUGCGGUCGCAACGAAAACAACAGUCCGUCUUAUACCUCACGUUCCCAUGGUUACGGGGCAAAUCCUCCUUCGUCGUCGUCGCCUUAGUCGUUUCAAGGCGGAUCCAAAAUCCUUCAAAAUAAUGAGCCCAAAAAGUUAAAACACAAACAAUAACAGUCGAGUUUCGCUUUUGGGCCCUUUUCCCUUUUUGGCUUCUUCGUUCAUUGAGGAAUUGGCAAUGGCUUAAGCCGUUGCCAAAACAGACAACUAAUUAUUUUCCUACCGGAUUACCGCGUGGAAGGGUUUAAGCAGGAAGCGGAAUUCCCGACUGCUGACAACAAACCACCACCAACGCCACGAGAAAAUAGCUUCGACCUGAUCUGAGUUCGAGCGGGCGGAGAAGGACGGCGAAGAGGAAGUCCGGGAUUAAUAUCAAUUAAUGGGAACGUUUUCAUCGCCUUUCACGUCAAUUAUGGUGAUUGUGAGACGGCGAGGAACCUUUCGGGAUGUGGAGGAAAGCGAAACAGUUGGUGCACUUGCCGAACAAAGCAACCCGUAAUCAUUGUUGCCUGGAACCGCCAGCAUCAGCUACUGCGAUUGCAACCACUAAUCCGCUCCAUCCGCCUGCUACGGGUUCUGCAUGAGGUCGUACACGAAAAGAAAUCGGAGAAUAUUAUUACCUUUUUAAUCCUCACCAACAAAGAACAAAAAAAGCAUAACCAAAGCAAACCAAAGCUUACGGAGUCCGUCGGUGCCUAAUUAAAGCGAAAUUUGGUAAACGAUUACCCCAGCGAAGGCGUCUUGUGUCAUCGCGCGCUGACAAGCAGGCGGGCCGCCGCCGUUAGCAACAAUCAAAGAUGGCGGCGCGCGGAGUCGUAGCUGUCAUGGCAACCCGACUUUGAUCUCACUGGCUUUGCUUCCCAGAAUCGACGAUUUUCUCCGACGUACGGGGCAGGCGGCUUCGACAGCCAGAUUGGAGACACAAUAAUUAACGAUAAUUUGCUGACUUAUCGUUUGGCUUUGAUGUUGGGGCUCUCUCUCUCUCUCUUUCUCUAUGUUCAUCCGUCGGAAUAUCACUUCCAGCCGAGUGAACAUGGUUUGGACAGUUUCACUUUAUUAAGUUGGGGAGCUGCUGCAUCGGCUUUGAUUUUCGUUUGAUGAUUCGUUGCGUUACAGAGCGGAUUCGUUUAUUCGAAUUUCGCUACUUCGAAUGCUCGAUAGUUCGAACUUAUUCGAAUUAAGAGCGAG